AAUCUGGCUGUCGUGAUGCCUAAAAAGCAUUGCAUAGCAAGGGCCGGGCAAGACCGGUGCCAGCCGCCGCGGUAACACCGGCGGCUCGAGUGGUAACCGUUAUUAUUGGGUCUAAAGGGUCUGUAGCCGGCCGGAUAAGUCUCUUGAGAAAUCUGGCAGCUUAACUGUCAGGCUUUCAGGAGAUACUGUCUGGCUCGAGGCCGGGAGAGGUGAGAGGUACUUCAGGGGUAGGGGUGAAAUCUUGUAAUCCUUGAAGGACCACCAGUGGCGAAGGCGUCUCACCAGAACGGACCUGACGGCAAGGGACGAAAGCUAGGGGCACGAACCGGAUUAGAUACCCGGGUAGUCCUAGCCGUAAACGAUACUCGCUAGGUGUCGGCCACGGUGCGACCGUUGUCGGUGCCGUAGGGAAGCCGUGAAGCGAGC
rnacentral:rRNA from 1 species